rnacentral:rRNA from 1 species
UCGAGCGGUAAGGCCCUUCGGGGUACACGAGCGGCGAACGGGUGAGUAACACGUGGGUGAUCUGCCUCGUACUCUGGGAUAAGCCUGGGAAACUGGGUCUAAUACCGGAUAUGACCACGAAUCGCAUGGUUUGUGGUGGAAAGAUUUAUCGGUGCGAGAUGGGCCCGCGGCCUAUCAGCUUGUUGGUGGGGUAAUGGCCUACCAAGGCGACGACGGGUAGCCGGCCUGAGAGGGCGACCGGCCACACUGGGACUGAGACACGGCCCAGACUCCUACGGGAGGCAGCAGUGGGGAAUAUUGCACAAUGGGCGGAAGCCUGAUGCAGCGACGCCGCGUGAGGGAUGACGGCCUUCGGGUUGUAAACCUCUUUCGACAGGGACGAAGCGCAAGUGACGGUACCUGUAGAAGAAGCACCGGCCAACUACGUGCCAGCAGCCGCGGUAAUACGUAGGGUGCGAGCGUUGUCCGGAAUUACUGGGCGUAAAGAGCUUGUAGGCGGUUCGUCGCGUCGAUCGUGAAAACUUGCAGCUCAACUGCGAGCUUGCGGUCGAUACGGGCGGACUAGAGUACUGCAGGGGAGACUGGAAUUCCUGGUGUAGCGGUGAAAUGCGCAGAUAUCAGGAGGAACACCGGUGGCGAAGGCGGGUCUCUGGGCAGUAACUGACGCUGAGAAGCGA